rnacentral:lncRNA from 10 species
GCGAAGGCCCGCGGCGGGUGUUGAUGCGAUGUGAUUUCUGCCCAGUGCUCUGAAUGUCAAAGUGAAGAAAUUCAAUGAAGCAGGUGUAGAAUAAGUGGGAGGCCCCCGGCGCCCCCCGGUGUCCCCGCGAGGGGUCCAGGGCGGGGUCUGCCGGCCCUGCGGGCCGCCGGUGAAAUACCACUACUCUGAUCGUUUUUUCACUGACCCGGUGAGGCGGGGGGGCGAGCCCUGAGGGGCUCUCGCUUCUGGCGCCAAGCGCCCGGCCGCACGC